GGGCUGGUAGUUAAAUGGGAUAACGGUAGCUUUGCAAGCUUCAAUUGAGAGUUCGAUUCUCUCCCGGUCCACCA
rnacentral:tRNA from 1 species